CAGUCUUGCUUCCAAGCAGUUUUUCUGAUCUCCUUGUUUUUCUCCCCCUGCCUUGCAGAUCACCCUUCGCUGAAGGAAGUCGUGGAACCUAUUUGGUCUCCGUUUUUACUCGUGUCAUGUUCAGAGGAGUUUGGGAACUCCAGCCUCGACACCUCAGCCCUGAGCCUCUCUGCUUCUAACUCCAAUCCCAGCUUCUCAGGAGUCACCUGAGAACCACCUGUCAACCUGCCUGUCCACCUUCCAAUGUUAAAACCCUCCAACCAUAAUGGAGAUUCCUGGAAGAGAAGAAACAAAGCACUUCAUCCCUCGAAAACGGUUCAAAGCCUGUCAGCCUCAAACCACCGUGGAGAAGGACUUAUUUUCCCCCGGUCUUGCCAAGAACCCAACCCCUAGAGACCCCGCGUUUGUCCACCAGCUCCAACCCUGGUACCAGUCCGAUCUUUAUCCGUGUUUGUGAAUAAACUGUUAAAACGC